rnacentral:rRNA from 1 species
CAAUAGCGUAUAUUAAAGUUGUUGCAGUUAAAAAGCUCGUAGUUGGAUUUCUGGUGGGUGCGAUCGGUCUGGCGCUUAGCGCGAGUACUUGCAUCGUCUCCGGCCAUCCUUGGGGAGAGUCUGUCUGGCAUUAGGUUGUCGGGCAGAGGAUCCUCAUCGUUUACUGUGAAAAAAUUAGAGUGUUCAAAGCAGGCUUAUGCCGUUGAAUAUAUUAGCAUGGAAUAAUAAGAUAGGACUUUGGUACUAUUUUGUUGGUUUGCGCACCAAAGUAAUGAUUAAUAGGGACAGUUGGGGGUAUUCGUAUUCCGUUGUCAGAGGUGAAAUUCUUGGAUUUACGGAAGACGAACUACUGCGAAAGCAUUUACCAAGGAUGUUUUCAUUAA